AUUGAACGCUGGCGGCAGGCUUAACACAUGCAAGUCGAGCGGAGUUGUGGUGCUUGCACCAUAACUUAGCGGCGGACGGGUGAGUAAUGCUUAGGAAUCUGCCUAUUAGUGGGGGACAACAUCUCGAAAGGGAUGCUAAUACCGCAUACGUCCUACGGGAGAAAGCAGGGGACCUUCGGGCCUUGCGCUAAUAGAUGAGCCUAAGUCGGAUUAGCUAGUUGGUGGGGUAAAGGCCUACCAAGGCGACGAUCUGUAGCGGGUCUGAGAGGAUGAUCCGCCACACUGGGACUGAGACACGGCCCAGACUCCUACGGGAGGCAGCAGUGGGGAAUAUUGGACAAUGGGGGGAACCCUGAUCCAGCCAUGCCGCGUGUGUGAAGAAGGCCUUUUGGUUGUAAAGCACUUUAAGCGAGGAGGAGGCUACUGGUAUUAAUACUACCGGAUAGUGGACGUUACUCGCAGAAUAAGCACCGGCUAACUCUGUGCCAGCCGCCGCAGUAAGAC
rnacentral:rRNA from 1 species